rnacentral:lncRNA from 1 species
AGGAAUGGGUGCUGUUUUUAGAGAAGUUCCAGGAACUGCUGUACCCAGCAUUUGCCAAGCGGAAAUCCGUGACCCUCGGACAGAGGCAGAGACAGAGGCUUGGUACUUCAUGCCAGUUUUGAUACUGAGUUACUACUAAUAUGUUGGUAUGAGCAAGGACUGUGGAUGAAGUAGUUACAGUACUAAUAUGUUGGUAUGAGCAAGGACUGUGGAUGAAGUAUAAUCUUUGCAAGUUUGUUGGAAUGAGAGAGCUUGUAGGAUAGGUUUGGCUUAUGUUUUUUUUUUCCUCCUGGGAUGAUGGGCUGCUGUAGUUGGCAGCAACAGUAGGUUCAAAGAGGUGUAAAUAUUCUUGGAGGCAGCUAAACAAAAGCUGAGUAGCAUUUGUUAUAUUUCUUUUAUAAAUUUUUUGCUUUGAUUUUUUUUUUUUUUUUUUUAUCUCACUCCUGAUGGACUUGUUUGAUAAAUAAUAUGUAGAAUGAAAUCAUGAGAGGAGAUGGUGUAAAUGUUAAAAACUUGUGUUGUUUAGACUUGUCUCCAAUUGAUUAUUUGUCCAGUUGUAUCGGGUGUGUGAUUGAGAUAUGGGUCCAAGCAUGUUCAGAUACUACAUUUUGUAGCAAUCAAACAUUACACAAAUGAGAGAAAUUGGGACAUACCCAUCAAUGUUUGGCUGAAUUAGUCUCAAGUAUGGUUAUUGUUUGAUGACGGAUUAUUAACCUCAAGUCUUCUUGUGGUUUGCAUUUUGUUCUAAUGGGUGGCUUUCAGAAAUAUGCUCUGCAUGUGUUUCACGAAAUCCCCUCCACACAAUGGGCAAGUUUGUAUCGUGGAGGGGGAUACAGCCAUGUAUCGUGGGUUAGUGACGAGUGAUGGUGUGGGGUUAUAGUUUAUAAUCCCUGUAAUUUUUUGGCUUAUUUUUUAUUUUUUAAAAUAGAAAAUAUUUGUAAUUUUUUAUAUAAAAUAGAAAAACUUUUAUAAACAUGAUGUGAUAGUAAAUCUGAUUUUUAAAUAAUUUUUAAGAUGGAAAAUAAGUUUAUGUUUUUUAAAAAGACUUUAUUUGAGGUUUCAACUAAAUAUAUUUAAUCUUUAUAAGUUUAAAAUUUUGAGUUAUGGUUUUGUUUCCUGGACCCGAAUUGGGCUUAAAGGAAAUGAGGCUUGCGUUGGAUUUGUUUGGAUUGGGACAGGUUCAUGUGAACUUUCAAAUGCCUGCGAACUACCUCUUCUCUCAUGCAUAAAAAGAGGCUUGAAUAGGCAAAAAUAUCUGGUCUCUGAUUCAAUGCCUCAUAUCCAGCUGUCAACUGCACAUUAUAAUAUGUUGUUGUUCUAGUUUCAUCUAAGAAAGACAAAGACAUGAACCACUGUGACGGUUGUGGGAGGCCAUUAAUUCAAUUGAGUAUUGAAGUGAAAGGAUUAGAAGGACAUUCGGUCGAUGCUGACAUCCUAAGCAACAAAAGAUUUUCGCUACCAACAAAAUGCAACCUCUCAUGAUUAGGUCCCACCAACAAUAUCUCUCUAAUCAAAUUCAAGUAUGCCAUAUCGUCUUGUUGGCCUCAAUGAUUUGCUUUCAUUCAUUUCCCCAGGCCAAAGCUGCCAACACAGCCACGCCUUCCACAGUUUUAUGCCAUUUGAUUUCAGUGAAGCUCAUGGUUUUCCAUGCUAUUUCCGGAAAAUUGCAGACGUCGUGAAAUCAGGCAGGCCAUGGCUUUGCAUGCUAUUUCUGGAGAACUGAAGACUUGGUGGAUUGAUAAGGAAAUUCGGAGAACAGGGUGGAGGUCCCACCUUUUCCUUUGUUCCUAGACAUAUGAUAUGACCAAAGAUUUAACAGUCUUACACAUUCCAACAGUUGCAUAUGAUGAGAAUAAUUAGCUAGGACUUAGCUGCUAGUUUGGUAAAAGGUCUGUUUUCCUCAGAAAUGGAGACAAGUGGGUGCAGAGAAAGCGUGGAGUGAGCAGUAAUGGUUGUGUGAGAGUGAACCGGUGGCAUAGACUUUUCAAUGUUACUAGUCUUGAUAGAUGAAGCUGGGUUGGGGGACUGCGCUAAUGGUCGCCAUCAGUGGUGGGCGGUUUUGUCUUUGUUAUUAACCAAGGAAAUCAUAUUUACGUGUACUUGACAAGUCAUCUGAAAGGGGAUAAACAUGGAAGUUUGGUGGAGGUCAUCAUCAACUAUAAUCAUUUUAAAGCCGACGAGGCUUGUUCCUCUAUGAUCCUUAGACAGUUCGUUUGAACUGACUGCAAAUAAUUAACAUAAUGGAACUCACAACUUACUGCUAUGUACGGCAUCGAACGUUGCAGCCUGUUCUCAAAUUGCCCCACCUUUGUUUUUUUGGGUGCUUCCUAGCUACUUGCUUAGGAGUGGGUACUCAUGGAUGUUCCUUUUUUCCACUUGCAUGUCCAUAUAUUCCCUAAUAAUGUCUCGGAAGAAUAUAUAGUUCAGGGUUAUAUUAAUUUAUCAUCUCAGAACCGUCUCAAAAGCUAGCUUUAUGAACUUAUAUCUUAUCUUAUCUAGUUAUUAUAUUGUGAGUAAUGAUUUUGAAAUAAGCUGUUUUAGUUAUCCGUGCUCCCACUAAAGAGAAACUGCAAGAUCUUGAAUGGAAAACAAGGAAGAAAGCAGGAAAGGGUAGAUGAGAAAAGGAAAAGCAAAAUUCAAGAUAAAGGCGAACCUAGUAAAGAAAAGAUACGUGCAGAAGAAGAAUUCUGGUAUGGACGGAGGUGAAUAACCCAGCAUGAAAGUAAGAGAAGAAUUGCCCGUGAAAAAAGAAAAUAGAAAAGGAAUAGCAACUAUCAUAGUAACAGUGAGUGAAGUCUUAGCUGUCGCCCAGUCCAUCAGUAAGGGGCCACCAUGGCAGUGUUACUCAAGUAUGCAUCAGUUUUUGCUUCCUUACAUCCCAUUCUAGGUGUACAACGUCUAUGUUUCUUAGUUUUAGAUGGGCAGCAGCACUGGUUAUGGAUUGAGCAGUCAUGGAUAUAUAUAUAUGUGUGUGUGUGUAUAAGGUUUCAUUAUCUCUAUCGACUAUAUAUGCUGAAUAUUAACAGAAGAAACAACUGAAAUAAAGCUUUAUAUUCCAUCUCUGUCUUCUCCAGGAUGAUCUCCCAUAUAUCAAUGACGUCCUUGAGACGUACAACGUCGAUUGAAUAGGUUUUAAUAUCAUGUCUCUAGGAAACGGCUAAUUGGUCUGAUUCUAACUUUGAUCAAAGUGGGUAAUAUAGACUUGUUGGGAAGCUACUAACCCAUGCCUGAUCCUGUAUAUCAAAAGAUGAAGCCCCUGAUCUUAUAAGUUAUAACCAAGAGUCACCUGGGAAGCCCUUUUGUUUGGGCCUUCAAGGGCCUAUAGGCCACAAGGCCCCAUCUCGGCGUCUCCAUUCCAUGUCUUUUUACGACCUGCACAAUUGUCCACUAUGGCCUUUCAAGCAUUUGGAAAUUGAAAGGACACGAUGUCUGUAUCCUUCCUAUAGAGGAGUAGUUUCUUUAUUCCUUUCUACUAACCUGGAUUCCAGUUGAAAAUGGCAAGAUCCGAUAAUAUAAUCUAUCCCAUAUGAUAAUAUAAUCAAUCAAGCAUAGGGAUUAUAACUAAUAAUGGGAUAAUUUAUUCAAUAUUUUCCCCCUCUGCAUGACACAUAUUGAUAAUCAUAAGUUGAUAGGAUUAUAAAUUUAUUCCUCUCCUCUACUUUAUUUAUUUAUUUAUUUAUUUUUUAAUAUCACUAUUUGAAAAUAAAUAAAUAAUAAUGAAAUUAACAUUUUAAUUCAAAAAACAAAAGAAUUUAAAAAUAUUUGUGUAAUACAACCUAAAAUAAGACUAAUAUAUAGUAUGAUUUAAUAUAUAAUAAUACUUUUAUAUAUUUGACAAUAUAAAUUAUAUUUUUAUUUAUAAAUUUUAAAUAUUUUAAGUUAUUAAUAAAGUAAAAAAAUAUUUAUUAAAUUAUUAAUUAUAAAAUAAUUUAAAGACAAUACUAAAUAUGAGAGAUAUUAUAUAUAUAUAGCUAAUCAAUCUCUUUGACAAGCAAAAGCAAGAAUGGAAGCUAGGAUGAACACUCUCCUAACAAGGUGGUCAAUCCAAUUUGUGUACAAACAAGUCAACAUUUCCCAACCAACAUUAAUAAGGUAUUUAAACUACUCAAAAACACAUUUAAUUUUAAAUAUUUCUUAAAAUCAAAACCAAAUUUGAAAUUAUUUCACACUAUUCCACUAAGUGAUCCAAUUGCAACCCAUUUCUUCAAUCAACAGAUAUGUUAAAUGAAUGGAAAUUUCAUAAGCUAAGAUAAGAAAAUGGAAAAAUGAGAUAGAAAUGAAGAGAUACAAUAGCACCAAGAUUUAGCAUGGAAAACAUUCAAGCAGAUAAAAAAACUACAAAUCUAUAGGCAAUAAAAAACCUCUACCAUGAAAAAAAAAUUAACUGAGGUACAAAGAUCUAUGAAGCCUAAGUCUUUAAUCCUCUCUUGGAUCACUUGCUUGGUACUUGUAAACUGCAGCUACUCACUUUUUUCUUUUGAAACAUAUUUAGAGUCCAUGCUAAGCUUGACUUUGGCCUCUUUUUGAAUCCACAUAAGAAUUUUUUUUGGAUUUUAUCAUAAAUAUGACAAAUAUAAGGGUAGGUAAACCUAUAUUCAAUUAACUCAUUUUGAAAGAAGUUCUCUCUCUUAAAAUAUGAUUUUCAGCUUAAAACCCAUAAAAUUUUAUUUCAAACAAAACAGCUCUAAAUUAGGUAAAUGACUUGAAUCUUUAGGGCCAAAAGCCACUUAGCUCUCUCGAUCGUGAAACAUUUUUCUAGAAAUAUGGCUUAAAUACUAAGAUUUUAAACUUCAUCAACUCUGAUAUGUUUGAAAAAAAAAAGGAAGAUUUAUCAUAUGUGAUUGAAUCCUUAUUGAUCAGACGAGAUUGUAGAAUUUUUGAUAUCAUAGAAACUAUUACCCUUUGGUGUGAUUGAUCAACAAUUGACCUAAGGAUUUUAAACCUAAAUUUUUACACCCUUAGUGUAUAAAAAUGAAAGUUUAAAACUUAGUUGAUUAAUGUUUCAUAUCAUCCAUCAUUGAAAAAAAGCUUACAGUCAUGUUUAGCAAUCUUUCAUCAUGAUCUAUUUGGAAUGAUAAAAGUCCAAAUAAUGAUUUGAAGCAAUUGAAUUUGGAGAACACAAUGAGAAUUUUUAUCCAAAAUUGCCAAUACACAAAGACAUUUAUAGUUUCAUUAGAUAUAAUAUUAAAUGAAAUUAAUCUCAUAAAAAAACAAUUAGAAAUAAUAUAUUAGGAUAUAGAUUUCUCAUCAUAUUUAGUUCACUAAUAUAACGUUGAAGUUUCUCUUGCCAAUGCUUCAAGUCCGUGUUUGAUGGUGCUCAACACUUUUAUUUGUUUCAAUAAAAAGAGCCCACUAUCAGUUUUAUCUGGACUUUUGUUGUGGCAUGUUCACAAUAGUCAUGGGCUUAGCCUGUCAACCCAUGUUGCUCAUUUACUUCAGAUUUCUAAUGUUAAUUAUUGGUCUUGUUACAAUAUUAACACCAAGGAUUACAACUCUCCUCUCUUCUCCACAUAUUUAAAAGCAACCAUGAGAAAAAUUUAAUCAACAAUUUUCAAUUAUCAAUCCUCUUAAAAAAGAAAAGAAUGAUUCUUAUAUUAUGGUUCACACUUGGUUUGGUUCAAUCACUCAAACUCAAAUCUUGGUUAGUAUUUAUGAUGAUCCACACCAAUUUUGUAGAUAAUUUUAAACCCAAAGGGACCCUUACAACUUUAAAAUGUGUUUAUAUGAUUAAGAAGAACCCGUACUUAUAUAAUGUCAACCCAUACUUAUAUAAUGUAUGAAACUUUUUCUCAUAUCUAAUUUGUGAUAUCAUAAUCAUCUCUUCCCCCCCAUAUACGGAUGUGAGAUAUCACAAUCACCCUCUCAUGCAGAUGCAACAUAUUUGUUGUGUUCCAUGGGAUUGCAAGGCUAAAUAAACAAACACUCUCAUAUGGUCAAACAAACUUCUAUAUUGGGGCCGGGGAUCAACUUUAAUAUCAUUUUUAAUAAUCUGAACUCAAUUCUAUAAAUAUUAUUCUCUCUGAACCCAAAAGCACCUUCAUGACUUUAAAAUAUGUCUAUAAAGUUAAAAAAAGUCUAUACUUAUAUAAUGCCCUAACACUAAGAACUUUCUCCUCCAUUUGAAUAGAUUAGAGCUUGACUUGGGUUAAAAAGUAUCAAUAUAUAGAUAUUAUGAUUGCCAAUGGUUAAAAAUACAUAUAAUUAUGACAUCCCACAUCAUAUACGAGAAAAAGUUUUUGAUAUUAUAUUUAUAUAAGUUUCUUUUAAUUAUGUAGAUACUUUUUUAAAUAAUAAAGAUUCUUUUUAGGUCUAGAAAAGAUAAUGCUUACAUGGUAGGAAGUGAAUUUUUUUAUUUUUAAUCAUAUUAAAUUAAUGGGUUUAUCAAGAGUUAACAUUUAUAUUAAAUUAAUAACUAAUGAUAUAUUUUUCGAAUUUGAGAUAUAUUUAACAUUUACUUUCUGACUUUUAGACUCUGCAAAUAUGAAUUGCCUUAGCUGUGUGGAUUGGGAAUUUCAAAUCCAAGCUCUAGUUAAGUUUGGUGCGCUCAUAAAUGUUAAAUUUAAUUUGUGCUACGUGAAAUCGAGAGGAGUUUAUGGGCUUGCAUGGAAGCCUAUUGGAUACACGAGUCUGCGUCCAUUGAAUUGGUCCAAGAAGAUAUCGACCAGGAUUGUAGAGUAGAGAACACUAGAAUGAUAAGAAAACGAGACCAGAUAGAGCAACAAUUAGAAUCUCCAGACUCCUCUUUUGUAAUCAAUGAGAACAUGAACAAACCAGAGUAGUGAUGAGGGAAACACAAAAACAGAAACAGUACAAAUUGCCAAUUGCAUACAUGAGAAACACAAAAAUUCGAAAAAAUGGGUUGAGCUCAAAACUGUAAAUGAUUGGGAGUUUCUUCACCAUCAUCACCUCCUUUAUCAUCCUCAUCAUAGAGUAUUUGACAACACCUACCCAAAUUAGUCACAAUGCUUCUACUUUGAUUGCAAGUAGCAUACUGUAUCCCCAAAACCUGAUAGCUUCCCCUCUUCCUAUUACCAAUUCGGGAGAGGAGAGUUUCUUAUUGGUUUAGUACAAGACGUUGAUGUUUAUGUCAGGUAUUGCGUCCAUGUAUGGUCUGUGUGCAAGGUUUAAACAUUCCCUAUAUCUAAAACAGUCAAUAAGAUGAUCGUUGGUCAUCCCUGCAGCUUGCAUGAAUGAGUAAACAAUCACCGGCCCCACUAGCCUGAAUCCUCGCUUGAUUAAGUCUCUGCUGAUGGCUUCUGAUUUUGGGGUCCUUAGAGGCACACUUCUCGGGUAUCGGCAUCUGAUGAUCAUCGGUUUGUGAUUCACAUAGCCCCAGAUAUAGCUGCUGAAUGAUCCGAAUUGCCUUACAAUCUACAUGUGCGUCAAAAUGUGGUACAAUAAGCAACCAAGGCCCAAAAUUAAUAUAUGGGAAGAAGACUACGUAUUUGUUUCUCAAAUUGACUUGCCUUUUGUAUGCAUUUUGCAUUGUCUACUAUGCACCUCACUCUGCUCUCCGCUAACAUGAGUGCUUUGUUGGAGGCUGUCUCCGUGAUCUCUUUCUCCCCCAUUUGGGCAACGGUGUUAGGAUCGAACCCGGAAAAUGCAUCUCUUUUAGUAUUUGAUCAACCAAUACACACGAUCAAUUUCAAAAAAAUGGAUGAUUGAAUCGAAGGAUUGAUGAAAUUAAGAAAAAUUUAGUUACCUCAGUAGUUCCUUUCUUUUUAGAAUUUCAGUCCAGUUGUAGUCCAUCAACAUACCAGACAUGGCCAGCAGCUCAAACAAUUGACUGUCAUUCAUAACUUGCAAGUUAGAAUUGGAAUUACAUCUGGUAAUCAACUGAGAGAACUGAAUAAAGAUCACAGGUGACUUACUUGUCUUCAUAAACUGGAACCCCCCAGCACUCAUCGUGGAAUUGUACAUAAACUUUAUCUGAUUGGAACCUCAUGUCAGUCUUCAAAUUCCAUUACCUUUUCUUUUUUUUAAAUUGCAUAAAUUAUACUUCUAGGCAGAAAUUCCAUAUUGCACUACAGUAUAAUGAUUUCCAUUUCUAAGUUGGAAUCAAUUUAAUACACUUGAGAGUUGGUAUAGAGUUGCCAUUACUUUCUUUGGUUCAAAAGCAGCAGAACAGUUGUAACUGCCACAUAGUAUCAAUGAUUGGUGAGGUGAUUUAAGGAAGCCUGCCAUUAUUUAAUUCAUGUUUCUGGAAAGCCAACCACUACACUUCAGAUAUUUGGCCAGUUUCUUCAAAGAAGUCUGGGUAGAUAUACUGUAGAUGGAAUCCAUAAUUUCAACUCCUGAACCCUUCUGACUCUAGAAAGGGAGAUUAUCUUGAUGAACUUGAAUUCAGAUUAAGUUUGUUCUUACAUGCCAAGAAAUGUCACACUAUUCCAAAUGCAGCAGCCAAUUAAACUAAAACAGAUGUUGGAACAUACCACUAUUCUUUGUAAUCCAGUUGCACCUCUUCAAUUCCCCAUCUCCAACAUCCGGACUAGGUUGUUGCGGGACGUUAGUAAUAGCCACUGGGACUUCUCUUCUUUCAGGUGGUCCUAUCAGGCGGAGGGAUAGAGCAAUCUGCCGAUCCAGUGGAGUAAUAUAAUCCUUAAGAGAAGAAUCGUUGGAGUUCUGUGACAGAGACAACGAUAAUGAUGAUAAGGACAGGGAUGAAGUGCUUUUCUGAAGGCUAAGAGGGUAGAUUUUCCUGAGGUUUCUGGAUAGGAAGCCUUGGUUUGGCUUCUCUUGUUCUUUAAUGCUUCUAUUCUUCUCCAGAAAAAGUCUUCUCACAUUUCCUUUAGACAUGGUUUGAGAGAAGAAAAGAGAGUUUGGUCUUAAAUGGGGUAGAUGUAAAGGUGGGUUGAGAUUUAUAAAGCUUGGGGAUUCCCAUAUUGAGAGUAGAUAAAAAGGAACACUAGGAACACUACCUAAGUUGGUUGGUGAAAUGUGAAUUUCAUCAUAGAUCGCUGUUUGCUAGCUCCUUAGUUUUUAAGCAAGCUCAUAAGAAAAUGGAUUUAACAAUCGCUUUUUUUUCAUUCUUUUUGCUUAAAAAAUAUGCCUACGAAUGUGUAGGACAUUGAAUCAGACAACAAAGUGGAGGAUAUACUCUAGCUAAAGAUGGAAAAUAUAUUGACAUAUAUUUAAAAACAUAUAGAUAUUAAAUUAAUUUAUGAUCGGUGUGGGAAUAUGGUGAAGAGAUAGUGGUUGGGUCCAAGUGAUUUGUUGUGUAUAUCCUGAUAGAUGUAGUACAAAAAGACAAGAAAGAAACAAUCUAAUUAUGAUAUGGAUGGAUGGAACCAUUUGACUUGCCCAAUUAUUCUGAAUAGGAAGCAUAUUAGGACAGAUGAUGAGGGUUUAUUUAUACAUGUAUAUAUGUAUAUCUGACAUGUUUAGUAUUUGACCCCUUAGGGAUGCUUACAAUAUUCAAAAUGGUUUAACCUACAUAUAGUUAUGCUCAUCUAGGUGAAUGAUGGAGUGGGUUGAUUGGCCUGUCCCUACACUGUUAAGCCAAUGAUCAGAAUUUGAAUCAGAAAGCAUCAUAACGACUACCUUGUUUUCUAGUUAAUGCCACUGAAAUAUAUAUAUAUAUAUAUAUAUAUAUAUAUAUAUAUAUAUAUAAUGCUUCUGCUUUCUAUAUAUUCAAAUUUGCACUAAUGAUUUGGUUGCAGUUUUAUCUUAUUGCAUUUUUAGUUGGGGGGAGACCACCAAAUAGCAGGAAACUCAAUCAAUUAGCACUUUUAGUUGCAGCGUUUGUCUCAGUGCAAGUGUAAUGGGUCCGUUUUAAACUUAAGUCCUACUCAUAUGCCCUGAGGGAUUGAGGCAUACCUGUUGCCAGAAUGGACAAAGAUAUGCCAUCCAUCAUCCUUCCUAGUCUCUCAACAGUCUGGGGUUUGUUAUGCUCAAAUGGGCCAAGAGAUUGCCGACCAUGCUCAUUAAGCUCAGUCCUAUUCCCAUCUGUUCAAAAAGACACUACUAUUGUGAAUCAAUGACUAAAGGCUCAUUCAGUAACUUGGCUUCUCGAUCCCCUUCAUAUAAUUUUUGGUUUGGUAGUUUUAUUUGUAAAUUGAGUCCUUGACAUGUGACAGAUAAGGGAGGAUACAUGCCAUUGAUGUUAGUCCUAAUGAUUCAAAUUCUUUCUGAUUUGAUUUUUGAGCGGCCUCCUUUGUGAAUAUGUUGGAAUGUUCAUAACUUCCAUCAUGGGGUUAAUCACAAGUACUUUCCAUUCUGUUUAAAAAUAUGGAAUAGGAUUUGGUGACUUCAUAAUCAAAGUUAAUGGACCAAAUGGUGAAACAUUUCAAUGAUUGGAUUUUUAAAUGGGAAAAGUGGGUUUCAACUCUGAAAAGAUAUGGGAAAAGAAAUAUGAAUGUUUAUAAUUCGGUUUUAUCUUCAUCAAUUUAAAAAUAUUUUAAAAUAUAUGCAUUUUUUUAUAAGUCACAAUGAUUUCUUGAAUACCCUUUUACUUUAUAAUGUUAACUAAAAUUAAAAAAAAAAAAAAUCAAUUUAUCAGUUUAAUUUGAUAAUAAUAUCUUACAAAUAAAUAUAUUAUAAAUUUUUUUAAUUAAAUAACAAGAUAUACAAAUCAUUGUGGAAAAUUUCUCUAGGAUCCUCAAGUGAUAAAUAAAAUAUUUUUAAUACUCUAAUUAAUAAUAAUUUUAUAUUCUUUAUUAUAUAAAUCCACUCAUCUUCUCGUCCUUUAAAAAAAAAAAAAAAUUGAAUAAAAAUUUUGUUAGUUGACAUCAACAAUAAAAUAAGAAAUUUUAAAAAUUAAAAAUAUAAUUCAAAUUAAAAUGCUUAAAAAAAUAUAUAUAUUGAUUCUCAUUAUAUUUCAAACUUUUUCUCGAUAUUUAUAUUUUCUACUAGGGAAAUGAAAAUUAACAUUUUAUUUUUAUAUUUUUAGCUUUAAAAUUUUUCUUUUUUAGUUUUAAUUGUAUCUUUAAUUUUUAAAAUUUCUUAUGUUAUUGAUAUCAAAUCAAUUCUGACGGUAAAAAAAAAUUGUCAAUUGGUAUUAUUAACCUGACAAGUAAAAUGGUCAUUUUAGAAAAUAAUUAUUUGAUUUAUGAAAAAGUACAUGUAUUUUAAAAUAUUUUUAAACAUACAAAGAUAAAUCUAGCUAAUUUAUAAAAUUUGAGGUUUUUUCUUUCUUUCUUUUUAAAUUAGUGAGUCAAAACCCACUUUUUCCUUUUUAGAUGUUCAAAAAAUGAAUUAAGACCCAAUUUUAAUAAAUAGUAAACAUAAGACACUUAGGUAUAUUUGAUAGAUCAAUCUUUGUUUCCUAAUUGAUCAUUAUAUAUAUAUAUAAGCAUCCAUACUACAACAAAAUCGAGCUCCAAGAUAGAACCUACUUAGAAUAUCUUUGAACAAAGUAACAAUCUAUUUGAACUUUAUUAUUGAGCCUAAUUCCCUAACUAAGAAUGGUUGAUCACUACUUAUUCAAUGAAUAAAUAUAAUGAUCCAAAAUAUUUCUUCAUCCUUUGGUCAAAAUAAGCAUCAAUGGGAGUUUGAAAGAAGAAUAUGUUAGGUUUAUGUUAAUCUAACGUAAGGUAUUGAUCUAAGAGUGAACAUGUAGGGGGAGGUUGGAGGGCGGUGGUGAAACCAACAUUUUACUUCAGAGAGGGGGGGAGGGGAAACCUUUAUUUGUAAAUACAAGUAAUAUUUAAUAAAUUAAAAGUACAAAAAAGUUAUAUUAAUUGAUAACAUUUCAAUUGAAUAUAUUUUACAACUGACCUCGACAAAUUUUAUAUUUUGAAAGUGUUGCAUAAUAGUUUCAUUGUCAAUGUUAUCAAAUGUAUCUUUCUCUAUAUAUACAAGUAAGUGAUCAUUCAUCCAUUGAUCUCCUAUUCGAUUUUGUAGUCGAUUCUUCAGAAUAUUCAUAGUAAAAAAUGUUCUUUCCAUGGUUGUAAUGGCAACAAGUAGGAUUAUAGCUAAUGUAACAAGUAAAUAAAUUAGUGGAUAUGCAGUGUGCUUUUUUGUCUUACCAUGACUUUGUAAUAUUUCGGGUUGUCAUCCUCUAGGAUUAACUCUAAUGUGUUUAUUUGUUUUUAGAUGAAAAUGACUAAUUAUUUGCUAAAUAUACUAAUCCUAAAUUAAAUAUAUAUGGAUAAAAUAUGAAUAAAGAUUUUAUAAAAUAUUUAACGAAAUGAAUCAAAUAAAAGAAAAAAUGUUCAUGAGAGUUUUACAAUCCAAUGGCAAAUCCUUAGAGAGAAAGCAUUAUAAAAUCUAAGGUUUAGGAUCAAAGUCAAUCCACAACCAAAUUCAAUCUUAAGACCAAUAUUACAUCAGAAACUUAGAUUUUUCUUUUUUAAAAACAAAUUCCUAAAACCAUAAAGUGAAUGAGAUUAAUUACUGGUUUAAGGUUUGACUUUGUAACCCUUCUUACUCUUUGUAGCUUUGUUUUGAGGGAAGAUAACAUAGAGAAGACCAUGAUAAUUAAUGAUCAAGAGUUAACAAGAAUCACUAAUAUCGGGUAAUAAUUUACUAUAUCAUUCUCUAAUACAACUUUCAAAAAUAGGUAAUGGUUAAUUAUUAUUUUCAAUUUUAUUCGAUCAAAAGCCUAUAUCCAUUUUUGUAGAUUUGACAUUUAGAUUUGUUAAUAAUAGGAUCAAAUUAUAGUUACUAAUAAUCAAGGUCUUUCCAAGAAUCAUUAGUAUCUUGACAAGAAUUCUUUAUAAUUUAUUUAGGGUGAUCUCACAUAGAAGAUUUAUUCCUAUCAAUUAAAUCAUGAAAACAUAAAGAAAACCAUGACUUUUCUGUGUUCUUGUUGUUCUACUUUGGAUUCUUCACCUUCAUGUUAGCAUUUUCAAAUCAAUCAAGUUAACCAAACAUGGUGGAGGAUUUCUCCUCACAAAAAAUGUUUGUUUGCCAAGAAAAUAAAAUAGAAAGAUUGAAAAAAAAGAAAAGAAAAGAAAACCUAAAACUCUAUUAAGAAUUUCAAGAUGAGAGAUUGAUCUUCCUCUCUUUGUUCUUUUCCAAAUUAAUAACUUCCUAGAAAACUUAACAAUUGAGUUUUUAUAGUUUCUAAAAAAACCCAACACAUGACGUGUUCCUAUUGGUCACUUAUUUUACAAAUAAUUACCUAAAAAUGACUAAACAAUAAUAAUAAAAUCAUGAUUUCUAGUCAUGUGGGGCUCACUUAAAGUGAAUAGAGUGCCCAAGAUGCAAUUCAUGAGGUGGAGAAGGUGAAACAUCAAAGUGGCAAUGUGUGAUUUCAAAAUUGGGGUUAUUUCAAAAUAAAUUUUGAAAUCAUAAGUUGAAUUUCAAAACAUUUGGAAAUGAUCCUUCAACUUUACUCAAUUUUCUUCAAAUGACCAUAACUUCUUCGUUUAAGCUCUGAUUAGUACAUUGUUUGAAGCAUUUGACUUUUGACCUCUCAAGCUUCAAAAUGAUAUAUAGCUUGUAUAAAAUUAAUCUCAAUAAUUUCUCCAUAUUUUACCUCAAAAUAGAAGUACGUGCUGUUGCUAAAUUUUGAGUUCUAAAUUUCCCUGUGAACUUGAUUGCAUUUACUUCAAACAUCCUCUAUUAUGGUUGCUUGCCCUCUAUCUCACUCCAUAAUAUUAGUUGCUAGUAUUUUAUACCUAUGAGUUACUCAUCAUGCCCUUGCUUGGGCAUUUUUUGGUUCAUAAGGUCCAAGUCGCUCAAUUAUGCAUGUAACCUCUUCUACUUCCUUGGUUGAUAAUGACUUUUGCACUUAUCAUUUUUUUCAUUCCUUAAAUCUAUAGUUAGGCUUAAAAUAAAAGUUAGAUUGAUAACUAGGGUCUUAACAUCAAUUUGAAUUAAGUUUGAUGAUUUAAGCAUUUUAUAUUACAUAAAUCAUAUCAUAUAUGUGCUAUUGGAGCACAUAUUUUAGCUCCAAUCAUGUAUAUCAAUGACAUAAGUCUCAAGUUGAUUAUUGAGUACCAUAAGCCCUAUUAGAGAAAACUCUUGUGGAUAAGAUUGAGUAAGCCGGAUUAAUUUUUGUUUAUAAAAAAUAACAAAUGAAUCACUAGAAUUUAGACAAACCAUAAAGAAUCAACUUAGUGUUUACCUUGGUGAAACGACUAUUAAGCUCUUGAAGUUGCAUAUCUAUAACAACAUAGAAUGACUCUAGUGUUUUGAAAAUUGGACCGUUUUGGCCCGUCCAACCAAUCCAAUUGUUGAUUGAUGAACUUUCUAGUUCGGUUUGGUCUAACUAUUCAAUGCUACCUCCUAGCUAUUCCCUCCAUUUUUAUCAUUAAAAAAGCACAGAUGACCUUAAACUCAUUAAAUGAGUUGAGACACCACUCGGCUAGAUCCCACUUGUUGCUUCAUAUAGCAAAAAAAAUGAAAUAUUUUUUUUACUAAAAAAAUUAUAAUAUUAAAUAAAAAUAAUAUAAUAUUUUUUAAAAUUAUAAAAUUAGUUAAAAUUAAAUAAUUAAUUUUUCUUUCAUUUUCAAUAUAUUCACAUUUAAAUAUUAUACAUAUUUCAUUUAAUAAAAUUUAAAAUAUGAAUACAUUUAUAGUUAUGCAUAAGAUAAAAAUGAAAUAUUAUUGAUUUUUAAUUUAUUUAUAAAUUUAUUUAUAUAUUUUUAUUUUUAAUUUUAAUAAUUAAUAAUAAUAUAUUUAUAACAUCACCAGUUCGACCGAGGUUCAACCACAGUUCAACCACCAAUCUUACCAAUGAGCUAUGAAUCAGUAACUUUUCAGAUUCAAUGAUUGGUCUGAUUUUGAAAAAAUUGAAUAACUCCACUUGAUAAUAAUGUAAAUAUGUAAUUUCAUGAGCUUUACGUCGUGGUCUCCCUUGAGUUAGAAAUACAUAAUCCAUGUUUGGAAUAUCAAUGUUAUGUUUUUUCAUAAAAACAAGAAACUCGAUCAAAUAAGAAACCUUAACCAUUUUCUCUUAUCAUUUAUAAUUGUUGCUUACAUACUUUGACCAAAGCCAUUACAUUAACAAUGUCUUGAUCCUUCCUCUAUAAGGCUUAUGAUAAUUCACUUGUGAUUCCCAAUAUAUAUAUAUAUAUAUAUAUAUUGUCAAAUGUAACUUGAAAUCAAAGUUAAAUGAUUGCAUCGACUCUUUUACUUCAUAUUUUUUCUUGGAAUUUGAACCAUCUUCCACAAUAAUUGCAAGUUUAUAAUAAAAACCUUAGAGAAAUCCAAUUUCUAAAAUGUCUUUGAAGAAAUUUGACCAUAUAAAGCUUAGGUUUUUUCACAAAACUAUUUUCAUCCAAAUUUCAAAAAUUUAAAAUUGAAUUAGGUAUUUAGAUGAAUUUAGGUGCUUAAAUAAAAAUAUGAAAUGCAAUUCUAAUUUAGUGCACUCAUAUUCUUACAAUGAAAAAUCUUAAUGACUAAUCUUAAUAAAAUUUCUCUUUAUAUCAUAAUGGAGUUAUACAACUUGUAGUCGAGGGUUCUAUGAGGCAAAAUGAUGGGUUCAUUUAUAAGAGUAAAAUUUGGGAAGUUAUGAAACAAAGUGAAAUAUCAUAUUGAAUAAUGUGACUAGCAUGCGUAAAAUUAUUAAUAAAAAUAAUAAUUUGAUGUAUAAUUUUUUUUUAAAAAAACCUUAAGCCAUAUGAGAGAGAAUCAAGGAAAACUAAAGAGUAUGUUAAGUUAGGAGUCUGUUGCUCUAAUGAGUUGAUUCUAAUAUGUAGUUCAUCAAUACAGAAUUUAGCAAUCUAAGAUUUUGAAAUCUAAUUCUAUGACAAUUUCCUAUGUGUAGAAUGAAUGCAAAAAAGCCAUGAUAGAUAGUGCUAGAAUAGAGCUAGUUCCAAAGUUUUAAGGUUUAAAGUUCUUAAUCAAAAUUGAAAAUGAAUUUAGAAGUGAAGUUUGAAAAGAGGAAAUUAAACCAGAUUGUUCGUUGUCAUUUUUAGUUUUUGAACCAAAAAUAAAAAGAUUUAAUAGCUGCAUAGUGGUCAGGUCAUUUUCAUAGGGAACUUUAGAAUAAUAGUUCUAAAAGUAUGAGGUUUUAGGGUGUGAGUCUUGGAUAGAAGCCCGAAAAAUGAUUUUGAAAAAAUGGAAGGAAGGGAACCUAAAAACUAAAAAUGAAAAACAAACUCCAAGAACAAAAAUUUAUUGAGAUUCCUUAUCUCAAGCUUAACUCAUCGACAAGGCUCUAAUCCUAUGCUUGUAGCUUUUGGAACAAGCCUAGGAAAGAGGUACUAGUUGACAGGAGCACUAACCAUCUUAACAAAGAUCAACUUAGUUCAAUUGCGCUCUUUUGGAUACUUACAAUCAGGUGAUUUACAUGAGUUCCUUUUCAUGUCAAUAAGCAUGUUUUUAGUUUAUAGAAUUUUUGCAAUGAAGUGCAGGUAUGUGGCCGAGGUUGCUUGACUUGCAACUCUCACAACCAACACAACAUAUCCUUGGUAUGUGGCCAAGGAUUAUAUUCUUUUAAUUUAGAGAAGUAGAGAACAUACCUUUGAUUUGAUGUUCCUAGACUGUUUCCAAUAUGAUGAAUAUGUCAAAAAACCACUAUAGGAGCCAUCUACUUAGUAUUUUUUUACCUGAUCUCAUCUUCAAGGGUUUAGGGAUGAGAAAAUGAUGGGUGUUUCUCUCUAGAAGACAACUAAGGUUUCUCACUUUAAAGGUUGUUUGGAAAAAUGACAAGAAGAAGUCUCAAACCCUAACCCCCUUAAGAGGCAUUUAUAAGGCGUCCUGUGAACUUAAGUGACUUAACCCCAAGUUGGGUUUGGUCAUCUAAACUAACUCGGGGCCUAAUUAAUUAAGUAACUAUAUUGGUAUCCAAUUAAUUAAUUAGACCUGUCCAAAAUGACAAUUCAUAAAGUUUAGUGUAACCUUACAUUUUUAUGAAAACACCCUUCUGCACACUUAUUUACCUAAAACCUAAAAUCCUCAAAACAAAUGUGCCACAAAGAUUUGGGAGCUCAAGUAGGACUAUUGUUGCCCAUAGGAAAAUACUGGCUUUCUCAAGGUCCAAUUUUGAAGUUGAUUCAACAUUUCGCUAAAGAGAAUCAAUUGCACUAUAGUAUCCUAUGUAAUUACAAUGGGCUGAAAGUCAAGUCGUGUCUUACUAUCUACUACAUGAAAAACUCCCUAUAAAUUAGUGUUCAUAAUCUAACAUGGUAGUAUUAUCAAUCUAUCAAGAUUAAAUCUUCAAUCAUUAAGUUACAAAUCCACUUAUUAUGUGAUCAAAUUAACAUACUCUACCUCUAAGAAGCAUAUGUUAAAUCCUAUUAAAGGAAUUACUAUUGUCAUAGUCUUCCUAACUAGAUGUCCUUUGGAUCACUCAAAAAGAUACACUGUCUUAAUCUUAUGAGAUAUCAUGGUGUCUCUAUUAAGAUUAUUUUUUGUCAUUAACAUCUAUCAAUAGUGGCCAAAGUCAUAAGGAUAUAUGACUACAUUAGGGUCUUACUCAUAGAUCAAAACGUUCUAUUAAUUUUGGUACAAAGUCAAUAUACUCCUAAGGUUAAGAGUACAUGUAGUAAAGUAGCUUGGUGAAUCAUGACAACCAAUAACCUUAUAUUAUAAUUCAUUGUAGGUCUUGUCCAAUGUGUAACUGAUCAAUUGAUUCUUGAAGUUAUGAUUUUCUAGAAAACAAUUUCCAUAGUGAAUAGUUGUUGAGAUCUACUUUUCAUCAAGUUAGAUUGAAAACCUAAAUUCUCAUCUAAAUUGAUUUUAGAUUUAGCUUUAAGUAUAAACCUAAUUUCUCUUCAAAUUGGGUUAUUUAAUCCAAGAGAUCAAUUUAAACUAUAUAUUCAAUUAAUCUUAAAUCAUCUUCCAAUGAUUCAUAUAAUGCAACUAUUCGAUCUCAUUAAAUCUAGCUUUAAGAAUUUAAUGAAUCAACCUAGUUUGCAAUGUAAUAGUCAUUCAAGAUAGUUUGAAGAGAAAAAUCCCCAAAUUUCAAUUAAUCAAUCAAUUAGAUCAAAUUACUUUUGCAAUUAAAGCUCAUUUUUCUAAUUCACCAUAGAUUUUGCCUUUAGAUCCUCAUUUCUUUGAGAAAAACGAGAUUUAGCCUCUCAUACUUGGAAAUUUGGUCUCACAAGGCAUGUUUGGCUAGUGAAAAAAUAAGAAAAAAUGAAAGAAAAAAAGAGAAUUUUAUUAAGAGAGAGAAUCUAGAAAACUCUACAGUUAAAAGUUUUUUAAUGAAAGAUUCAAGUUUCUAUUUAUAAGCGAAGGUCAAGUGGACACUUGGCAUCAUCUAAGAGCUCUUUUGGAAGCUUUCCCAUUCAACAAUCAGGAGUUUAACAACAAAACAAUCAUUUCACAUAAGCUCAGCCAAUUCACACAAAGAAAACUAAUUUUGCAUGGUUGUGCGAAAUCAAUGGAGCAGUAACAACAACCAUAGCUACCUAGACCAUUUUGCAUGACUAUGAGAAAUUUUUGCAUGAUCAUGCGAAAUCAACUUGCAAAUUCUCCCUGGUCUGUAACACAAAUCCACAUUCUGGUCCAUUUUGCACACUCAUGUGGAAUUUUUGCAUGAUCAUGCGAAUCUGCAACAGUUGAUUUUUGAGCUUCCCCUUGUCAUUUAUUCCAUUUCAUUAUUUUGAUUCCACCUUAACUACCUCCAAUUAGCUCAAAUCUCGGUCCAAACCAAUUGCAUUACUUUUUUUUAUUAUGCAUUUGGAUCAUCAUCAACAUUAUUUGUUCUCUUCAAUUCGAUUAAUCUCUUUUGUCACCAAUUUGUCAAAAUCAUACCUUGAAAUGACUCCAAAACUUCAUAGAAUUUGUAGUAACUCUUGCAAGGGCAACAACAUAUUAAUUGAGUAUUUUAGGCAUAAUUACUACUCAAAAGAUGUGAAUCUCAUGAGAAUUAUUACCUAAAAUAUGCUUUUUUUGAGUAGUAAUCACUAAUUGUACACAUUAGUGCACUCACCAUGGGAAAUCCAUCCCAAAGGCUAAGAUAGGCCAUCUCUUCAAUUAGGAGGUAGUGUACUAAAAUCUCCACUAGAUUGCCCAAAUCCAUGAACCGACUAUGAACAACUAAUCAUCUUGUAAGGAACUAAGGACUUUUGUCCUUUAUGCAAUUCCUAAUGGACCCAAGCCAUUUACAAUGCAAGUGAAAUGGGGGUAUAUGCUUACAUAACCAAUUUAUACAAAUAGGAUAUUAAAAGAAAACAAAAAUAUAAAUAAAUAAAUUUAUUAAUGAAUCUAAAAUCAUUACAUCAUGUCAUAAUUUUUAGGGCUCUAUCCUAACAAAUAUAUCAUCUAAUAAAAUUUUUGCAUCAAAUGUUCACACAAAAAUAGUGCAUCAAAUACACCAAACCCACCAAAACUAAAAAAGAAUACACACCAAGACAUAAUUUAGAAAUGUUAAGUGUCUCAAGAGUGUAUACUUACAUUUCAUAUUCAUAAAACUAACUAUAAAAUGACAUAAGAGUCACUUCAGAAACCUAAAAUUUUCACUUCCAAUUAAAGAAAGGCUUGUCUUUAAAAGUGUAUGGUACAAGAGCCACAUCCAAAACCCAAAAAUAUUGAUUACCUCAUGCCCUUCUACUUUUUUUUCUUUUUUGUUCAUAUCAUCCUUCUAAGAGUGUAUACUUAUAUUUCAUAGUCUAAUGAACUUAAGAGAUUUUAUUAAAAAUAAGGAUUAAUUAAUGUUAUCAUAGAUAAACGAAUUCCCAAGUAAGUUCUAUUUUUUUUCCUUACUUCCCAUUUUAAUGUAAAAACAUACUUUGAAGAAUGAGUGAUUUGUAUGCAAAAUAAUGAUAUUUCAUAAGCUCAAAAAGAAUAUUUUUGUAAAGAAAAUACAUAAAAAUCAGUCAGCUUAAACCUAUAGUUGAGGUGGUACCCUCUUGGGAAAUAAUUAUGGAAUAUGAUGAGAAUUGAUAUAGAAAUAAGAGUAGAAACUCUUGAGAACAACUUAAAGGAAUAAACAAAGAGAAUAUCAAGUAAAAAUUAAAGGAAAAAAGGGAAGCUAGAAUUUUUUUAGAGUUGAUAUUGAAAUGUAGAAGCCAUUUCAAUACCUAUUUCAAUACAGUUUGAUAGUUAGCAAGGCACAACUUUGAUAGAGGGAGGAGGUGCUGAUUUCAAUUUGAUAGAUAUAACUUCAUUGUGCUUGACCCCAUUACGAGCUAGUAUAUAUAUAGCUCAUACUUGGGGACAAGAACUAGUAAUGGAGAGGGCAAAGCAUAAUGGAAUUAUAGCUCGUAGCCUAAGACUUUUUGAGCCCGAGGGCUUAGAGAAUGAAUUCCUCAAUCCAAGGGAUGGGCUAUCUAUCUAUCUAUCUAUCUAUCUAUCACUACUACAAAAAAUGUAUUCAAUGACGUUCAUUUUCUUGACGCUUGUAAAAAAUGUCAAGGAAUUGUAUUAAUCAUGACACUUAUAGAAAUUUGGCUAACAAGGACGUUUCUUGAAUAAAUAUAUUGACGCUUAUGAAAUUUACCUAAAUAUUGGCGCUUCUUCAAAGGUUUCAUUGGCGCUUUAAAUAAGAUGAUGCUUUUUUGGAGUGUCAUUGUCAACUAGAGUAAAAUUUGCCAACCUUAACACUUGUAAUAAAUGUCAUUAUCUCUAUGCCUAUAUAUACACUUUUAUUUUCCCAAUCUCUCCCAUCUCGCAAACCAUCAAUAUCAUAGAUAAGAACCCUAGCCUUGCAAUCUACCAAAAGUAGCCACAACAAAGAUGACUGAUGAACUCAAUGGCAACCAGCAGCCACGACAAAGAUGACUGACGAACUCAAUGGCAACCAGUAGACACCCAUUUGUAGCCUUAUCGGGGACAACAACAACUAGGUGGAACGCUCCUUCUACUAUCAAGUCAAUAACCUCUCUGAAUAUUAUUGGCAAGUUGAAUCUCUAUGUUUACUGGGUAUUGUGAUGAUUUUUCACCAGAAAACAACUACCACAAACAACCUUCAUCACUGGAGAAAUCUAGAACGAAGAGGCCCUAACCUUUUUCAUAGAUGAUCUCUAGUAGUGAGAUUCCCUAACUGAUUUGCCGUAUUGGGAACUCCUUCAAAUAAUCAGCAUAAGUAAAUCCCUUUUCUGAAGGUAGAACUUCUAUAAUUUUUUUUUUUUGAUGGUGUCACAGCCUUCGCAAUUUCGUACUCGAGAAAUCAAAGUCUCUAUUGCUUGGUUAUUUUAAUUUAUCCUUUUCAUUUCUCUAUUCUUUUGUGGUUUUGUGUUAAUUUUUUCAUUUAUUAUUAAGAAAUCCAAGUAAUAUCAGGAAGAUAUAAUUUGGAAUUGCAAUCUUCCCAAUUCAACCCUAAUCCCCUGUUUUGGUUGUAUUUGAGGCUCCAUUAGUAUUAUUAUUAUUAUUUUGAAAAAAGAAUUCAACUUUAGUGUUUUGUUGAGCAGUAGAUGACAUUUAUCUUGCUAUGACUUUUAAUAAUUUCUGGGAAGCAAGCAAAAGCCUAUUCUUAAGAGCAACCAUUUUCUUGACCAUCAGAUUAAACACUUGUCUCUGCAAAUCGACAACACUCCUGAUUGUUGUCAGGUUCCUCCUUUUUUUUCUUGCUGCUCUUCCACUGUUUGAAGAUUGGUCGCAUCUAACCCUGAUAUAUGUAUCUAUAUGUGUUAUAUCAUUAUUUUUAAUUUAUUUUUAUUUUUUCUUUUCUGGUUUAUAUUCCAUGUUUAUUUCCAAUGCUAAUGCCAGGUAGUCUAGCCGGUACAUGUUGGGCAUUUUUUCAAAAAUCCAAAAACAGAUUGAUUGGAUUCUGAAAAAAAUAAGAGAGUAAAAAAAAAAAAGACAAUAGAACACAUUUAUGGUGAUUAAGGCCAAAGAAUGAAUUUAGACAGGUUAUCAAUGACAAUGGAUCCCAGAGAGCAAACUGCUUUGAUACUAUGAUGUGAGAAAUUCUAAAACUGUCUUACUAAUUCAAGAAGAAAACAAAUAGCACAUAUAUAUAUAUAUGGUUACAUAAUCCUAUUUAUGAAAUUCAAAAUUUAAUUGGAAACUGACUUUAUCAUUGGAAACUAACUCUAACCAUCCUUAUAAGUUAGGAACACUCCUAAUAUAUAGAAAGUUUGACUUAUCAUAGCUAUACCAUAAUUUCCUAAACUUAAGGACCCUCUAUCCUUCUUUACCCUUCGUCAUCCUUUUAAGGAUCAGCACACAUGGUAGAGAAGAGGUGACCUUAUAUUGGCUGUCCAAAAGAUGGCAUGGAACAAAAAUAAAAGCGGCCAAGAUGGUUGAGGAUAUUUGACAUGAGAGACCGAAAUACAAGUAAGAGUGUGCGUGUGAGUGUUAACACACAUGGUAGAAAAGAUGUGUCCUUUUACUGUUUCUCCAUUUAACUUAAAGGUUACACUAAACAAAAACAAUAAGUUUAGGAUAUCUGACACAAGCUACCAAUCUGGAAAAAAAAGAAAAGGAAAUGGAAGUAGGAGAGUGCAUAUGAGUGUCACAUGGAUGGAGAGAGAGAGAGAGAGAGAGAGCAACUAACAAUUGAAACUGUUAAAUCUGGUGAGAAAAACUUUGAUAAUUCUGGUGACAAAAUGAGAUCGGAGAUACAGAGAGCGUCUCUUGUUUCUUCUGUUUCUUAUUUUCUUCAUUCAUUGGCAAAUGACACUCAUGAUUAAAAUCUAAAAAUUCUUUCCAAGACUUAAAGAACCAGAUGCUUUUUUACAUGCUCACUGCUUUAUUGAACACAAAUGAAAAAGGAGUAGCAGUAUCCAGAACAGGGAAUCCAGCCAAAAAUGUGGAAGAAUUUUAUAUAAUACUAACUAUAUAAGUUUCAGACCUUUAAAGGAUCCUGGUAAGGGCUUCCUUAUUCCAUAAUAUUUAUGUAACAUAUUUUAUGCAAGAUAGGUUUCAUCUUUGCCGGUUGAUAAUUUUCGUCUACUUAUUUAUUUAUUUAUAAUAUGUUUAUAAAAAAAAUUAUUUAUUGAUAAUAGGGAAUACUUAUCUAAAUAAUUCUUUUUUCUAAAAGACAUGCUCAAUAUUCAUUUUUUAUUUGGAGAUGUGAUCUUAGAAAAUUGGAGUUAUGGCUUGGGCCUUUGUCUCUAUAUUGAAGUAAAUUAAUGAAUGGAUAAAAAUAUUGUCUCUGAACUGUAAUUUUGUUCCCUAAAGGCCAAGGUAAAAAGCUAGAAAAUAUUGGUCAACAUGGCCAAUUACUUAAACUGCUAUUUUGAAAACCUUUCUCCAGACUGCAAUAGUCUCUUAACUGCUGGCUGGCACCAUCUAUUAUUAAUCAGGAAAAGGAACUCAUGAGUGAGAUGAAAAAACAUUAUCCACUACUUUACUACUUUCUGUAAAUCAUGUUGAAAAUAUUGGUGGAAUCCUUCAAGUAUGAAUCCUCCUAGGUGUGUUUUUAUUUGUUUUUUUUUGCUUCUUACUGUUUUAUUUUAAAUUUUAUAUGUUGGGUGAUCUCUUAUUUUCUAGGAUCAUUAUUUGCUUCUCUAUAGGGUCAGAAGUUUUCGAUUCAAGGUCUUUUGGGAAAAGAAAUAUGCUCUAGUUCUUUUAUUAAUGGAACCUUGCUGAUAUCCCGUUUAGCACCAUAGGUGUUUGGUACAACUUGUCUUUAUUGCUUUGUAGGAUAAAGACUUUUCAUAUUAUAUGGUUCAAUAAUUGAAUUCCAAAUUGUUGCAGGACUACCAUCGCUUUCAUUUUCCAAUUUUUGGAACCAUUGAGCAUUUUGUUGAUGUACCAGGAUGCUUAUAUACAAUAUGUGCAAUUAAUAUCUGUUGAAAUUCAUGUUUGUUUUGCAAACUGUUUUUUAUUUCUUCAAAACUUCCCUAAUCUUUUACUUCAUUUCUUUCUGCUAGGUUUAUCCCAUUGCUGUAAAUAGCAAGUAUUGCAAUGUAUUCACAGAGAACAAGCGAGUAGUAUCUGUUGUUUCAACAUCUGAUUUUGGGAAGGUUUGUGGUUUCAGUCAUUUGCUGCUGCUUAAUUCACAUUUCUUGAAUUUUAUCUGUCUUUAUGUGACAAUAAAACAAGCUCCAGCCUUUUCUUUUUUAAAAAUUGUAGUUCUUUAAGCUCAACUCUCUUUUAACUUGUUUUCCAUAGAAACAUGGAUAGUGAUUCUUUGUAGCUGGAAAGACCUCGAUGGGGGAUCAUUGGUCUUUCUAAAUUUAUGAAUUUUUUUUCCAUACCUUUUCCAUUUGUUCUCUAUAUAAUUUUAAUGUUCCCUGGAUAUAUUCAAUUAUUAGUUGUAAUGGGUGUGGUGUUAUGCACUUAUUAUAUUUAGGCUCCUAUUAAUAAUAAUAAUAAUAAUAAUAAUAAUAAUAAUUGAGUUUGAUAAUAAUAAUAAAAAUUAAAUAAAUAAUAAUAAUAAUAAUAAUAAUUGAGUUUAAUAAUAAUAAUUAUUAUGAUUAUGAUUAUGAUUAUUAUUAUUAUUAUUAUUAUUAUUAUCAUUAUUAUUAUUAUCAUUAUUAUUAUGAUUAUGAUUAUUAUUAUGCUUAUCAUUAUUAUUAUUAUUAUUAUUAUUAUUGGACCCUUAUGGUUUGAGCUUUAUUUCUAUUGGAUUUUGGGCCUUAGUCUUGGGCUUUGGUAAUCAGAUUGGGCUUAAUGUUGCACUUUAUUGUAGCAUUAGGCAUUGAGCCCUCCACUUUGGAUAUUAAACUUGAAACCAUAGCUGUUGCUUUUGGAUUUCAUGAAUUUGGAUAUCAUUAUUAUUAUGAUUAUGAUUAUGAUUAUUAUUAUUAUGAUUAUGAUGAUUAUGAUUAUUAUUAUUAUUAUGCUGAUUAUUAUUAUUAUUAUGAUGAUGACUAUGAUUAUGAUUUUGAUUAUGAUUAUGAUUAUUAUUAUUAUUAUUAUUAUUAUUAUGGUUAUUAUGAUAUUUCUAUUUAAUUAUUUAUUAUUAUUAUUAUUUUAUUAAUUAAUUAUUUUUAUUUUUAUUUUUUUAUUAAUUAAAUUUUUUUUUAAUGGUUGUGAAUUGGGGGAAGAAGCUUCUAAGGCAAGGGGUUAAAUAUGUUUAUCCCCUUCUAACAUGGAAUAUAUGUUUCCCCUCAUUUUGUUAUGGGUAGUGUAUAUUAUUGUUAUUAUUAUUAUUUUUUUUAAUGGUUGUAUUAUUAUUAUUAUUUAUUUAUUUAUUUAUUUUUAAUGGUUGUGAAUUGGGGAAAGAAGCUUCAAAGGCAAGGGGUUAAAUGUGUUUAUCCCCUUCUAACAUGAUUUAACAUGGAAUAUAUGUUUCCCGUCAUUUUGUUAUGGGUAGUGUAUUUGUUGCCAUAUUAGGAAAAUAAAGUAUUCUAGUUUUGGAUGAUAUUGGUCUAUUAAAAUCCUUAUUAUUAAUAUUAUUAUGAUUAUCAUUAUUAUUCUUAUUAUUCUUAUUAUUAUUAUUAAUGGACCCUUAUGGUUUGGGCUUUAUUUCUAUUGGAUUUUGGGUCUUAGUCUUGGGCUUUGGUAAUUAGAUUGGGCUUAAUGUUGCACUUUAUUGUAGCAUUAGGCAUUGAGCCCUCCACUUUGGAUAUUAAACUUGAAACCAUAAGUGUUGCUUCUAGAUUUCAUGAAUUCGGAUAUUAUUAUUAUUAUGAUUAUGAUUAUGAUUAUUAUUAUUAUUAUUAUUAUUAUUAUUAUGAUUAUGAUGAUUAUGAUUAUGAUGAUUAUGAUUAUUAUUAUUAUACUGAUUAUUAUUAUUAUUAUUAUGAUUAUGAUUAUGAUUAUGAUUAUUAUUAUGAUGAUGAUGAUUAUUAUUAUUAUUAUGAUUAUUAUGAUUUGUUAUUUAUUUAAUUAUUCAUGAUUAUUAUUAUUAUUUUAAUUAAUUAAUUAAUUAAUUAUUAUUAUUAUUAUUUAUUUUUUUAUUUAUUAAUUUUUUUUUUAAUGGUUGUGAAUUGGGGGAAGAAGCUUCUAAGGCAAGGAGUUAAAUGUGUUUAUCCCCUUCUAACAUGAAAUAUAUGUUUCUCGUCAUUUUGUUAUGGAUAGUGUAUAUUAUUAUUAUUAAUUUUUUUUAAUGGUUGUAUUAUUAUUAUUAUUAUUAUUUAUUUAUUUAUUUUUAAUGGUUGUGAAUUGGGGGAAGAAGCUUCAAAGGCAAGGGGUUAAAUGUGUUUAUCCCCUUCUAACAUGCUUUAACAUGGAAUAUAUGUUUCCCGUCAUUUUGUUAUGGGUUGUGUAUUUGUUGUCAUAUUAGGAAAAUAAAGUAUUCUAGUUUUGGAUGAUAUUGGUCUAUUAAAAUCCUUAUUAUUAUUAUUAUUAUUAUGAUUAUCAUUAUUAUUAUGAUUAUGAUUAUUAUUAUUAUUAUUAUUAUUAUUAUUAAUGGAGCCUUAUGGUUUGGGCUUUAUUUCUAUUGAGCCCUCCACUUCGGAUAUUAAACUUGAAACCAUAAGUGUUGCUUCUGGAUUUCAUGAAUUCGGAUAUUAUUAUUAUUAUGAUUAUGAUUAUUAUUAUUAUUAUUAUUAUUUUGAUGAUGAUUAUGAUUAUUAUUAUGAUUAUGAUUAUUAUUAUUAUUAUUAUUAUUAUUAUUAUUAUUAUUAUUAUUAUUAUUAUGAUUAUUAUGAUUUUUUUUAUUUAAUCAUUUAUUAUUAUUAUUAUUAUUUUAUUAAUUAAUUAUUUAUUAUUAUUAUUAUUUUUUAUUAAUUAAUUUUUUUUUAAUGGUUGUGAAUUGGGGAAAGAAGCUUAUAAGGCAAAGGGUUAAAUGUGUUUAUCCCCUUCUAACAUGGAAUAUAUGUUUUCUGUCAUUUUGUUAUGAGUAGUGUAUAUUAUUAUUAUUAUUAAUUUUUUUUAAUGGUUGUAUUAUUAUUUAUUUAUUUAUUUAUUUAUUUUUAAUGGUUGUGAAUUGGGGGAAGAAGCUUCAAAGGCAAGGGGUUAAAUGUGUUUAUCCCUUUCUAACAUGCUUCAACAUGGAACAUAUGUUUCCCGUCAUUUUGUUAUGGGUAGUGUAUUUGUUGCCAUAUUAGGAAAAUAAAGUAUUCUAGUUUUGGAUGAUAUUAGUCUAUUAAAAUCCUUAUUAUUAUUAUUAUUAUUAUUAUUAUUAUGGUAUUAGUAGUCACUUAUUUGUUCAUGAAGUGAUUAUAGAUCCUAUACUAGCUUUGUUGAACUUUGAUUUUCUAUUACUCCAUUGCUUAAUGUAAAUUGAGUUAGUCGAUAUUUAAAAAUAAGCCCAUAGCAUAUUUUAUUUUAAGAAUAACUAUUCUUUAUAUAACCACAUAAUAAUUGGCAUGUAUCAUUUCAAAAUUUUCAAUGUUAUUUCACUUACUUCAUAUUUCAAAUUUUUGCAUCUACCUUGUAGAUGGUUUUUAAUCUUCACUAGUGUUAAUUUGAAGAUGUAGAGUUGAAGAUAUGGAAUAGGGAAAUAAUGGCUCAUAUCUAAUAAUAUAACUUGAUUUGAUAGGUUAGAAAAUGUGAGUUGGCCAUAGGGACAAAGGAAAAUAAAGUGAGUGGCGGAACAAUUAUACUUGAAUGUGGUCCCAACUAUCUAGUAGUUGUUGAUGUUCCUUAUGAUGCAAGUGCACCACUUCCCAUUCCUAUUCUUGGACAAACUACUACUGUUGGGGCUGCAAUUGGUUACCAAGUUUUGUGGCCAGCUCAUUUGGUCAGCAUCCAUACUCCCGUCUUGGCAAGUAAAUUUAAUUACCAAGCUUUAUUAUAACCCCAUAUAUAUUCAAUUAACUACUUAAUUUGAUUUGUACCAUGGUUCUUAAUUAUACAGGCAUCUAAGAAAGGAAAGAAACAAACAGUAAAUGAAGUUGAAGUGAAAUCCAAAAGUGAAAAACCACAAGAUAUCAAGAAUUUUGAGGCAUUGGUUGGCCUUAUGCUUGCAACCUCGAGAGCACAACCUAUAGACUUCCCAAAUGAUGUUUUUGGUGAGAGUUUCAAGACCUUCCUAAUGAAAGAAGAUAUGGACAUGAUUAUAUCAUCAACAGAAGUAUCAUCCAAUUGUAUCUUAUACUACAUUUGGUGAGGGAUUUUAUAAUUUUUGAAUGACACUUCACACUCUUUUGAGGUAAAAAAUUAUUUACUAAUGACCUAUAUUGAUCGUUGAUAACUUGUUAUGUGAGGUUUAACUAGGCACUUGCAUAGAAAGUUGAUUGAUAGAAAGCAAGUUGAACGAUAUGUUUUUGUCAAUCCAGUAUUGGUUUUGAAAGCUGGAAUGGGAGAAGGAAGCAAAAAAAAACAGGUCAAGAGUUAUUGCAAAUCGACUAAGGAAUACAAAGCAUGCUGAAUAUAUGUUUAUUCCAUACAAUCCAGAGUAACCUUUUACCCCAAAUGUCAAUAUGGUGUAUGUAAGUUAGUUUGUGAUGUAUUAAUUUAUGGAUAAUAUGUUAACACAUCUGCUUUUUUUUUUUUUCCUUUUUAUUUAGUUUCCAUUGGGUCUUAGUGGCACUAGAGAUGAAGAGAAUGAUCACAUAUUACCUUGAUCCAAUGGCUUAUCAGCCAUGUGAUGAUUUUAAGGAGAUAGUUAACAUGUAAGUGUGUAUCUUCUCAUAUUUUAAUACAAUGCAUAGGGGUUGAAGAACAUUAUUAUUUUUUUAUAGGGCAAUUAAAAUCAACCCACCAUAAAAACAAAAAACAUCAAAGAGAGAGCUAACUUGGGUCAAAGUGGUUGUAAGUACUUAUUCAUUUAAAUUAAAAUAUAUUGUUUGACCACUUACUUUGUUACACAAAAUUAGGAAAUGGAUGGUUAUUAAAAUGAUCAUUGGGUAGAUAUUAAAGAAGUAAGAAUAUCAUUCUAUUGUUUGUUGUAAUUGUUGAUACUUUUAUCCUAGUGCCCAAGACAACCAGGUAGUGUGGAAUGUGGGUAUUAUGUGAUGAGAUACAUGAAGGAAAUCAUUGCUAAUCCAAACCAACUAACAACAAAGGUUUGUACUCAAUUCAAUUCAUUUGGUUGGUCAUUUUACUAUGGCAUUUAAGUGGUCAAUGAAACUUAAUGAAUGGUUUAUGUUACUCCAAUUCAGUUUGAUGGAAGAAAAUCAUUCAAUGAAAUGGAGAUUAAUGAAGUUCGCUAAGAUUGGAUUAUGCUAAUGACUCAAUUAAUCAUUACUCAUGCUUGAAAGUACCCCUUGUGACUUAUAGUCUAAUAUAACUUCCUAUUAUUUUAAAGAUCUAUUGAAUAUUUUGUGAAUGUUAUUUCUAUAUAUAAUGGUUUAUUCUUAGUCAUAAUUUUUUAAAUAUCUUGGUACUCCUAGUUGGCAGUGUUUUCAAUGUGGAUCAUCCAAUGGUUGCUCUAUUUGGAUUGAUGUGUAAUUGGCAAAUUGAUGGAUGAAGCUUAGUAGACAUGGUGGGGGUCACAACCUUUCAUCAUUUCCUCUUCACAUUCUUGCUAGUUGGAUUUAUUGAAAUCUCAGUAUUGCACUGGUACAAAAAUUCUUGCAUUUUAAAGCUCAUUUUUGUGAAGCCUUUAGCCUUAUUACAUGUGUGUGUAUGUAUUAGGAAUAUGUCUAUCCUCUACAAAAGCUUUUUGGGUAUUUGAGAUCACUUGCUUUAUAAAUUUCUUCAAUCUAAACUUGUAAAGGCCUCCUACUAAACUAAUGCACAGGCUUAAAGUCUAUAAUAUCAUGUACUUCUAUUUUCUUUGACAUAAAAAAUAAAAUAAAAUAAAUAGGAAGUUAGAUUAAGACUUCUUACAAAUUAGCCUAUGGGAAAAAUAACACUUUUUUCUCCCUAAAUAGGGCCUCUAGAGCUUCCUUGUCUAAGUAGGAUAUCAACUUGAAUACUAGUCCCUUAACUUGAAUACAAGUGUAGGAAAGGAACUAGUCAUUUUGACAUAAUAGUGUAACCAAGGUCAUCUUACUUUUAACCUAUUAAUGACUUUUAUAAAAAGAACCAUUUUGUCCAUAUGAUUUUUUUUUUUUUGUUGUCUUUGGUGUUAUUUUAUUCUUUUAAUCAAUAAAGUGUUGGCCAUGUAUAAUUCUUUAUGGAUUCAUUACAUGUUAGAUUGAAAAAUUAAUUUAAUAAUAAUGUUAUAGCUGAAAUUAAUUUCUCUUCAGUAGCAUUCCUACUUUAUUUAUCUAAAUUAUUGUAUUGCCCUUGGCUACCAAUUUUCUCUUAAAUUAAUAAGUAGUUUGAAUAUAAUAUGUUGAACAAACUUUUAAGAAUCUAAUUUGUUGCUAAAUUGUUUAUUAUAUAUUCUUCAAGUUGUACAGAAAGGCAUAGGUCAUUCUCUUCUGUACAUCACUAUUGCUCUUGCUUAUUCAGAUCUGAAAAUGAUUAGUGACAUGAAGAACACCCUGAAGCAGUUCAAAAUUUUGCCCAGAGAAUUUUGAGGUAACAUAUUUGGGUUAUUAUUAUUAGUUUUACAACAUGAAUUAUAACAUGAGCUAUACAAAAUCAAUUAUUGCAUUCAGCCCAAGUUUGAUAUACUAACAACAUAUUUUGAUUACCGUGGCUGCAAGGCAUCAUUCACUCUUGGUUAGAACAUGAAUGAUAACAAGAGUUGGACAAAAUUAAUUAUUGCAUUUAGCCCAAGUUAAAUAAAAUUAAAUAUUGCGUUUGGGAAUGCACCAGUAAUAGUUUAUUGUUUGUUUUCUUAAAAUCGGAAUAAGAGUUUCAAAAGUAUUUCAAAAUUUGGCAUAACAAUAUUAUUGGGGUUUGUUGACUUCUUCCAAUAUUUUGAAAUGUAUUGCAAUGAAAGAAAUAUAUAUAUUGGAAAUUUUAAAAAUUGGCAUAGACACAUUUCAUUUACAAAGUUGUUUUUUAUUAACUAUUUGUCAAUACUAAUAUGUAACCCUUUCAAUUAUUUUUGCAGAUUGAGCAUCUAGAAAGUGAGUUGCAAUCAUCUUUAUGCACUUUGAAGAAAAAUGAUGUAGAACUAGAUGCAGCAAAGGACCAUGAACAACUCAAUGUUGAAGAAGUUGUAAAAUUUCUGGUUUAUUAGACAACUUUUAAACAAAUUCAUAAUUACUUAUGUAUGAUGUUAAUAGGUAAAUUUUACUAGUGAAAAGAAACACCAGAAUAUUGCUACUUUUUGUCUAUGCAGUUUCUUAAAUUAAUUUUUUAUUGUUGAAUUAAUUGUUUGUGGAAACUUAUAAAACAGGGCAUAAUUAGGACAUUUCCUUUUCUGGCAUAUUACAAUUUCAAAUGAGAGAAUAUGAUGCUUUUUAAAAGCAUCAUGGUAAUUAGAUAAGGCAGAAGAUGACACUUUUCAUAAGUGUUAAGGUUAAGGAUACCAAUAAAAUGAUGCUUUUCAUAAGCAUCAACGUUGAGGAUCAAAGAAAAUGACGUUUUUUUAAGCGUCAACGUUGAACAUGCCAUAUAAUGACACUUAUUACGAGUGUCAAUGUUGUUCCUACCUGUACAAUGACACUUAUUACGAGUGUCAAUAUUGUUUCUACCCGUACAAUGACACUUUAUCGAGUGUCAAUAUUGACAUGAAUGAAAUUAUAAACAUAUGAUGACACUUAAAAAGCGCCAAGGUUUAAAAUUAUGACACUUACUAUGAGUGUCGUUGUUGAGUUGAAAAUAAUAUAGCGCUUCUAAAAAGCGUCAACAAAUGGCAAUUUAUAAGAUGACAGUCUAAAAUAUGACGCUUUUGAAAAGCGUCAUCUUAUAUCUAUCUUGACGUUUAAAAAACGUCAUCUUUUGACAUUUUCCUUGUAGUGUAUCUAUCUAUCUAUCUAUCUAUCUAUCUAUAUAUCUAUCUAUCUAUCUAUAUAUCUAUAUAUAUAUAUAUAUAUAUAUAUAUAUGUAUAAGUGAAGUGACAUAUUGAACGAAGCAACUAGCGUGUACCAAUAUUUUUAAACAUUAAACCAUAGAAGGAAAAUCAAGGGAAAUCUAGAAAAAGAGAUUAUGUUGAAAUUUCAAUAAAAAUUUUAAUGUAUUUAUUAUGUCGACUUUCCUUGCUUAAAGUUAAGUUUGGGAUUAUGAGUGUUUUUUGGAGGUGUUACAAUUUUAGCAUAAAUACUAGAUUUUUAUUUGCAAUUUAAUACUAUUUACCAUAUAAUAACAAACUUAGGUAUUUGGAAGUUUCUUUCCACUAAAAUUUAAUUUCGUUGACUAAUUUGAAGUUUCAAUAUUAAAUUGAUUACAUAAUUGGUACAAUUUGGAAAUUGUCUAAGAAAUAUGUGAUAUAAUACUAAAAUUUUGAUGAAAAUUUUAAUUUACGAACUUAUUAUAUUUUAAGCAUUUUUUCUUUUAUAUUCAUAUGAGAAAAUGGUAGACCUCCAAUGGCUCUAGAGGGACCUAUGACCAUGACUAUGAUGGAAAUUUGUAAGAAAGUUUUGGAGCAAAGAUUAAUAUGUGUCAAUAAAGGUCCUCAUUAUUCCUCUUUUUGUUAUGCAUAUGAUGGAUCCUCAUUUUUUUUUUUUUUUUUUGUGUCUAGAUGAAUAUACUUAUUUUGUAAUUGAUACUUUGUUAGACUAAGAGAGUAUUUGGUAAAACUUAAUACUUAUUAUUUAAUAAUUUAAGUUAACUUUAAAUUAAAUUAUACUUACGUUUUUUUAUUUAAAACUUAUUACUUAAUUCUUACUUUAAGUACUUAGUGACAUUAUAUUCAAUUGUUGAUAAUGUUUCAUUACUAAAGAUGUUUCCCCGUGAAACAUUUUUGUUAUUGAGGGUGCACACAUAAUUUCUUGUCUAUCCAAAUCCUAGAUAUUUUAAUAAUUAGGAGAGAACAAGUUUGUUAAAUCCCAAAGUGUUGUGAAGUGCCACUCUUUUGGUUAUUACACCAAAUUGGAUUUCUUUUUUGUUGGUUCGAAGUAAUGCUACUUUCAUUUAGCUAUUGUAGGGACCCCUCCCUCUGAGAACACGUGGCACGCAUUUUAUAGUGACACAUGGCACGCAUUGUCAUCCGAGUCACCCUCAUCCGGAUCUUCCUAUAAAGCACACAUGACGCGCUUUUCCUAUCCGAACUACCUCAAGGAAGAUCAAACGACACUUAUAAACAUAACAUCCGGACGGCUUACACAAUACAUCCGGAUGAUCAACAUAUGUCAUCCGGAUAUAAUUGUCCGGAUCAUUGACUGAAGUAAGGCAAGUCUUACACGUUAUCACAACAACAAGCCAUGGCCCACGUUCCGCCACCUGCAGGGUGAGAGGACAAGAUGAAGUGACAACAAGUCACUUCCUACGAUCAUUCCACAUGAUCACUUCCCACUUUCCACGAUCUCUGACAGUCGCAUCACCUACCACGAUCCCUGUCAGCCACCCGUAGGGUGAUGAUGGCCCUGUUUCCACCUAGUGUCAUCAUGACAACAUAAAAUAUCUCCCCAUCAUUAAUGAGAGGAACAGUGCUCCUGGAACUAUAUAUAAACCUUCACACAGAGAGGAAGGUAGCUGACGAUACCUAGUAAAAAGCCAACUGAUUAUCUCUCUCCAACCAUGGCUGACAAAACCAUCGGAGGGUGCGUCCGGACACCCUAUUCGGACGUCUUUGGCAGGUAUAACGACUGAGUCAAGAACCUAUAUUGGUUGAGGUCGCGCAUCCAUCCAUUUGGCAACUACGUGGAACACCAGGAGCGUGAGGCAUCAACAUUGGCGCCGUCUGUGGGAAAACAUUUUCAUUUUGAUUCAGUCACUAGCAAAGAUGGCCACACCUUCCCGAAGUCGUUCGUCUAGUAGGGGAGAGGAUGAUAAUUUUGAAUGGUGUCAAACCAUCGAAAGAAGACAGUUGGCAAGCGAACGUUAACUGAAAGCUCUCCUCCAGGAGACAGAAAGAUUGAGAGAAGAAAAUGUUGUACUGCGCAUCCAGGCUUCAACAUCAGGGCCUCCUCGACGUCAGCAUUCAAGAGGUCAAGUAGCAAACUUAAGGCCUCAACAAGAACCAGAAUCAAUAUAUCCUAGGACAACAGGAGCCAUCCUAGGAGCAUGCAACGUGAGGCCUCAUGAGCCACACACGCCUAUGCCCCGAGCUCCUCGUGAGGAAAGCUUAGACUCUACUCACUUUUCAGCAAAAAGACAAAGCGAUAGAAGACCUCAGUUGUCAAAUUCAAUGGGCGCAAGACUAGGCCCACAAGAGCCUGGAAGACCAAGGCCACCAGUAGCCACAACCUGGGCACCACGCCCUGACCCUAUGGUCACCCCCAUGGUGCAGAACGUGCACCCACAUCGUGACCCCAUGGUCACCCCCGUGAUGCGGAACGUUCAUUCGCACCCAGCGGUACAGCAAGCUGGGGGGAACCUCCCAAACGAGCCACCCAUCGGCUCCAUCAGCAGAAGGUUGGAUGACAUGCUCUCCACGCCCUUCUGCUCUCAUAUCAUUCAUUACGAGCCCCCAAGGGGAUUCCUCGUACCAAAAUUUUCCACAUACGAUGGAACCAAUGAUCCCUUCGAUCACAUCAUGCAUUAUCGACAGCUCAUGACGCUCGAUUUUGGCAACGAUGCACUACUAUGCAAAGUGUUCCCCGCCAACCUACAAGGGCAGACCCUCUCAUGGUUUCAUCGCCUACCUCCCAACUCUGUUGGCAAUUUCAGGGACCUGUCCGAAGCUUUCGUGGGACAAUACUUGUGCUCCGCUCGACACAAGCAAAAUAUCAGCACCCUGCAGAACAUAAAAAUGCAAGAUAACGAAUCCUUGAGGGAAUUUGUGAAGCGGUUUGGCCAAGCCGUACUUCAAGUGGAGGCUUGCAGCAUGGAUGCUGUCCUACAGAUCUUCAAGCGAAGCAUCUGUCUAGGCACUCCAUUUUUCGAAUCACUAGCCAAAAAGCCUCCUACGACGAUGGAUGACUUAUUCAGGCGUGCCAGCAAAUAUUCAAUGCUUGAAGACGACGUACGGGCAGCCACCCAGCAAGUCAUGGUUGCUGGGCAAGCAGCCAGGGGUAGCGCGAAAAGAAAUGCUAAACCUCCGGACCGGCCAAGGCCGUCUGACUGAAGGCAGGAAGGGCCAAGUCGCCCGGAAAGGCUACUUCUCACACCGCUUUCCAUAUCAUAUGAAAAACUUCUCCCAAUGAUCCAAGGCUUGUCCGACUUCAAGUGACCUAGACCCAUCGGAACGGACCCAUCCACAAGAGACAGUAGUAAGCGAUGUGCCUUCCACAAGGAUCAUGGUCAUACAACAGAGGCAUGCUGGUCUCUCCAGUAUUUGGUCGAGAAGCUCAUCAAGGCAGGACAUCUAAAGCAAUACGUCCGCUCAGACGCGGGAGGGAAAGUCACUUCCCAACAUCACAACCCUGAAGCCCCCAGGGCCCCAACCGUCCCCAAAGCCAUUAUAAACUAUAUCAACGGAGGCCCAUCUGACGAAGAGUGCAACUCUAGGCGAAAAAAGCAAAAAUUAUUGUGGGCCGCAUCAAUACGCGAACGCAUCAAUUCCAUCCGACCUGGACAAACUGGAGAGGGCCCUCGCCCCAUAGAUGGGACAAUCAUAUUCCCACCAGUAGAUCCCACCUGGACGCUGCAGCCACAUCGCAACGCCCUCAUCCUAUCCCUAGAAAUAGGGGACUUCGAUGUGAGACGUAUCCUGGUUGACCCAGGCAGCUCGGCCGAUCUUGUGCAAGCAUCAGUCGUUGGCCACAUGGGACACAGUCUCAUAGGCCUCGAAAACCCUGGACGAGUCCUGUCCGGAUUCAACGGAUCCUCAACCACAUCCUUGGGAGACAUAAUACUGCCGGUUCAAGCUAGCCCAGUUACUCUCAAAGUACAAUUCUCGGUGGCUCAGGAGUUGUCACCCUUUAAUGUCAUCUUAGGGCGCACAUGGCUACACUACAUGAAAGUCAUUCCCUCCACAUAUCAUCAAAUGGUGAGUUUCCUCACCGACGAGGGACAAAUUGACCUAUAUGGCAGCCAAUUAGCCGCUCGCCAGUGCUACCAGAUAGCACAAGAAGCAGGAACCAGCCAGGAGGAUGCAUCUCCCCCUGAACCCAGCCAUACACAUGACCAAUAGCAAUCAUUGGGUCCGGUGGACAAAGAUCCCCCGACAGCAGAUCCCUUACAAACAAUCCAAAUUUCGGAGGAAAACACUCACCUCACGAACAUCAGUUCCCUCAUGACGACCGAAGAAACUCAGAGCAUGCAAAAUAUUCUUAGACGGAAUCAUGACAUCUUCGCAUGGGCACAUUCUGAUAUGAAGGGAAUUCAUCCCUCUAUUGCAUCUCACAGGCUUAACGUCUUUUCAACUACCAAACCCGUCUGGCAGAAGAUUAGGUGCUUUCACCCGGAUAGACAAAAAGUCAUCCGGAAUGAGAUUGACAAAUUGCUGGAAGCCGAAUUCAUCAGAGAAGUAGCUUAUCCAGAUUGGUUAGCCAACGUGGUAGUGGUACCCAAAAAAAAAGGAAAAUGGCGGGUUUGCGUAGAUUACACCAACCUCAAUAAUGCAUGUCCAAAAGACAGUUUCCCUUUACCACGAAUAGAUCAAAUUGUGGAUUCCACUGCCGGGCAAGGGAUGCUCUCUUUCUUGGAUGCCUUCUCCGGAUAUCACCAAAUUCCCAUGUCUCCGGCUGACGAGGAAAAAACAGCAUUCAUAACGCCAUACGGUCUUUACUGCUACAAAGUUAUGUCAUUCGGACUCAAAAACGUUGGCGCCACUUAUCAGAGACUGAUGACAAAGAUCUUCAAACCUCUGAUAGGCCACACAAUAGAGGUAUAUAUUGAUGAUAUUGUGGUUAAAAACAAAACUCGAAAGGAGCAUGUUCUUCAUUUACAAGAAGUUUUUCACCUCUUAAGGAAGUAUGGCAUGAAGCUGAAUCCUUCCAAAUGCGCCUUUGGCGUAAGUGUUGGCAAAUUUCUGGGUUUUAUGGUCAGCCAAAGAGGAAUAGAGGUUAGCCCGGGUCAAGUCAAGGCAGUCAUGGAAACACCUCUCCUCAGGAACAAGAAGGAGUUGCAACGCCUCACAGGCAAGCUCGUUGCAUUAGGGAGUUUCAUAGCCCGCUUCACUGAUGAGUUGCGGCCCUUCUUCUUAGCAAUACGAAAAGCUGGAACACACGGAUGGACGGACAAUUGUCAAAACACUUUUGAGAAAAUUAAACACUGUCUCAUGCACCCACCCAUCCUAAGCAGUCCCAUCGCAAAAGAAAAAUUAUACAUGUAUCUGGCUGUAUCAGAAUGGGCAAUCAGCGCCGUUCUAUUCCGCUGCCCCUCACCCAAGGAGCAGAAACCAAUCUACUACGUCAGCAGAGCAUUGGCGGACGUAGAAACCAGGUAUUCAAAAAUGGAGCUAACAGCCUUAGCCCUCCGAAGCGCUGCCCAAAAGCUCCGCCCCUAUUUCCAAGCCCACCCGGUGAUCGUGCUGACCGAUCAACCCCUUCGCAACAUUCUGCACAAAUCAGAUUUAACCGGAAGAAUGCUGUAGUGGGCUAUCGAAUUGAGCGAGUUUGGAAUCAAAUUCCAACCCAGAUUGUCCAUGAAAGGCCAAGUAAUGGUUGACUUCGUGCUAGAAUAUGCCCGAAGGCCUAACCAAUACCAGGAAUCAAAUGAAAAAGAAUGGUGGACUUUGCGAGUUGAUGGAGCUUCACGAUCAUCAGGAUUCGGAGUCGGGCUUCUGCUACAAUCCCCAACCGGGGAGCACCUGGAGCAAGUCAUCCGGCUGGGAUUCCUUGCCUCCAACAAUGAAGCAGAAUAUGAGGCCAUCAUAUCCGGAUUAGACCUCGCCUUGGCUCUAUCCGUCUCCAAACUCCGGGUCUAUAGCGAUUCACAACUUAUAGUAAGACACAUCCAGGAGGAAUACGAGGCCAAGGAUGCACGCAUGGCGCGAUAUCUAACUAAAGUAAAGGACACCUUACAGCAAUUCACCGAAUGGACAGUCAAAAAAAUCAGGCGAACUGAAAAUGGGCGCGCUGACGCCUUGGCCGGUAUAGCUGCCUCCCUCCCUAUCAAAGAAGCCAUUCUGUUGCCUAUACAUGUGCAAACCGACCCCUCUGUCGUAGGAAUCUCCACUUGCAACAUCAUUGAGGCAAACCAAACAAACGACCAUGAGUGGACGGACAAUAUUGCAGAAUAUCUCCGGACAGGCACUCUACCCAGAGAUCCCAAGCAGGCACACAAAAUCCGGGUGCAAGCUGCUCGUUUCACCUUAAUUGGGGGGCACUUGUACAAACGAUCCUUCACAGGACCUUACUUUCGGUGCCUAGGGCAUUCAAAGGCCCAGUAUGUGUUAGUUGAGUUACACGAGGGAGUAUGCGGGAAUCAUUUAGGAGGACGAUCUCUGGCACAUAGAGCCCAUUCGCAAGGAUAUUAUUGGCCAACAAUGAAGAAGGAUGCGGCAGCCUAUGUCAAAAAAUGUGAUAAAUGUCAAAGGUAUGCUCACAUUCCACAUAUGCCGUCAGCAACAUUAAAAUCAAUCUCAGGCCCAUGACCCUUCGCGCAAUGGGGCAUAGACAUAGUGGGACCCCUCCCAGCUGCACCUGCCCAAAAGAAAUUUUUGCUCGUCGUCACAGAUUACUUCAGUAAAUGGGUAGAAGCUGAAGCGUAUGCUAACAUCAAAGACAAAGAUGUCACCAAGUUCGUAUGGAAGAACAUCGUCUGCCGUUUUGGAAUUCUACAAACUAUCAUAGCUGACAAUGGUCCUCAAUUUGACACAUCGCAUUCAGGAAUUUCUGUUCGGAGUUGAAUAUCCGGAAUUCAUACUCCACACCGCGUUAUCCUCAAAGCAACGAGCAAGCAAAAGCCACAAACAAAACUCUGAUUACUGCCUUAAAGAAAAGGCUCGAACAAGCCAAAGGGAAAUGGGUGGAGGAGCUACCUGGCGUCCUAUGGGCCUAUCGAACCACACCCGGACGACCAACAAGAAAUACUCCUUUCGCCCUCGCAUACGGAAUGGACGCAGUCAUUCCUACUGAAAUAGGUCUACCUACCAUCGGGACUGACGUUGCAGAGCAGAACGAUGCAAACACAGAGUUGGGAAGAAACUUGGAUUGGGCAAAUGAACUAAGGGAAAGCGCAGCCAUCCAGAUGGCAGACUAUCAACAAAGAGCAUCCGCCCAUUACAAUCGCAAAAUAAGGCCCACAAGCUUCAAAAAUGGUACGCUAGUCCUUAGAAAAGUUUUUGAAAACACUGCUGAAAUGGGCGCAGGGAAAUUCCAAGCUAACUGGGAAGGACCCUAUAUAGUGUCAAAGGCAAGUGAAAGUGGAGCCUAUCAUCUACAAAAGUUAGACGAAACUCCAUUACUUAGACCAUGGAAUGUGUCUAAUUUAAAACAGUAUUAUCAAUAAAAAAGCAAGUCAAAAUACAAAUGAGUAAAGAGAUGUUUUAUUCAUACGUAUAAAUAUAUGUACAACGGAGGUCUCCGGACCACAGAAAGUACAGAAAGAGGAUUACAGCAAAAAUUGCAAAAAGAGAAAAGCUAUCAGGGAGCAGGCUUGUCUAAAAGUUUCUUCUCUUUACCCGGAGGAAUUGAAGGGACAUCCCGCUUGAUACCAUUCUUCUUCUUACAGCAGCGAUAGCCGAAGAAGAACAUGUCAUCUACUUGCUUUUGGUAGUCCGCUUCAAGCGCCUCCCUGUCUGCAGCAAACUCUCCCUCUAGCUCCUCUUUUUGCGCUACCAGGCGCAACUGCAAAUCCUCCUUCUGCUUUUUUUCAAUCGAAGCCUCCGUCCGGAGUUGCCUCACCUCCCCCCUCAGCCGGGCCAUCUCAUCCUCUGCCUCAUGCAGGUAGACAACCGUUGACUCCUCCCGGCUCUUUGCCUCAGCCAAGUCCGCCAGGAGAGCUUCAUUGUCCUCUCGAACGGCGGAUAAGCUAGCUUCGGCCUCCUCCAGUCUCAAGCGCAGCUGGUCUUCACUAUUUUUGCACUGAGACGCGAAGGCCUUCAUAUAAUUAGUGGUUCGCAGCAAGUCAGUGAAUAAAUCGUGUUGUUGAGCCAUGCCGCGAAGACCACUCACCAGCUACAUACAAGCACACAAGCAAGAAAAGCAAAAUUAAAAGUCAUGCCAUAAACACAUCAAUAUGACAAAAGACAAUCAAGAAAUACACUAUACCGUUUCCACCACUUCGAACAUUUUUGCUUAAGGCAUGGCAAUGGUCGAGCCGGGUGGAAUCUGUUUCAGCUUCUCUUCCAACUCCGCAUAACUAAAAGGGCUAGCGGAGGUGCAAGCCGCAUCAUUAACAGGAUUCCCCCCCGAUGAGGCGUUAGAAAACAACUCUUCUUCCGGAUCCGGGGCCUCAACGUUUUCAGCUGGAUGGGUCUCUCCGGGUGCACCCUCGUCCGGGACCACCAUCGGGACGGCUGGAGUCUCAGUUGCCAUCUCCACCUCGCUCCCCUCUGGAUGAGCAUCUUGGGCGGAUGAGCAACUAACUUCAAUCUCUUGCAAUCGAUCUUAAAGUCGCCCGAUGAGUCCGGACUUUAGAUUGCGUGCCGAGCACGACCUCUUUGAA